AAUAAGUAUUCUGGACAUCAACAAGUGCUUGUGUCUGGUGCCUCUAGAAUCGAGCAGUAGCGACGUCAGUCUAUGGUUAUGUCUAGCUUAAAUGGUCAGGAGACCUAAGUCUUUUGCAAUAGACCUCUGUCUUGUGCCCCCAGACUAUAUUAUAUCUAUAUAUGAAACCAGUAUGUGAUGGGAACUGCUUAUUUUGUAUUCCUGUUUCUACCUUAUUGUAAUUGCUACAAGUGGCUGUAAACCUUUUAACUUUGAAGCCAGUGUUUGGUAUGCCGUGCUUAUUUUCUCCAAUACGCUAGUUCAUCAUUUGCUGCCAUACUGGAAGUCUUUUGGAGUAUCCUGCCAUGGUUGUUAGUGUAAGUGACAUGGCAUAAAUAUAUG
rnacentral:lncRNA from 1 species